UGCCAUGCAACUCCUAUCCCUACCUCCUCGUGGUACCGGUUGGAAACUAUGAGCAACUUUAGGGAAGA
rnacentral:ribozyme from 1 species